GAUGAACGCUAGCGGGAGGCCUAAUACAUGCAAGUCGAGCGAGAAGGUUUCUUCGGAGACUGGAAAGCGGCGCACGGGUGAGUAACGCGUACGCAACUUACCCCUGAGAGUGGAAUAGCCCCGGGAAACUGGGAUUAAUACUCCAUAGUCUUUAAUGAUCACAUGAGAAAUAAAGUAAAGCUUCGGCGGUAUAAGAUGAGUGUGCGUCCCAUUAGAUUGUUGGUGAGGUAACGGCUCACCAAGUCGACGAUGGGUAGCUGGCGUGAGAGCGCGACCAGCCACACUGGCACUGAGACACGGGCCAGACUCCUACGGGAGGCAGCAGUAGGGAAUAUUGGUCAAUGGACGAAAGUCUGAACCAGCCAUGCCGCGUGGAGGAUGACUGCCCUCUGGGUUGUAAACUCCUUUUAUAUGGGAAGAAACCUCUGGAUUCACUCCAGAGCUGACGGUAUCAUAUGAAUAAGCACCGGCUAACUCCGUGCCAG
rnacentral:rRNA from 1 species